rnacentral:piRNA from 1 species
UACACAGGUGAGCUUUAUUAGAACGCGGC